AGCGGCAACGUCGGUUGUAAUAUGUCAAAUCAUAAAUAAGGCUUCUAUCAAAUACUCAUAACAAUGGAGGUACACGAGUGUACUUUGUUUACCGUUGUUUACUUUUCUUGACGUAAGUGAAGACGCUAUUUCAAGAAAUUUGAAGUGCUAAUUCAUUAAAAUAUGUACGCUUUCAUGACUGUGCCUCAACUUAAAGUUGAGGUUCGUAAAAGAAAUGCGUCAAUUGCCGGAAAAAAAGGCUAAUUUGAUAGAAAGAUUGCAAUCUAAUGACCGGAAUAAAAAUUUUGGUGUUGACUGCGAGAUCCAAGAGGAGAUCGCAUAUCUGAGUCCAGCCACUGAUACUUUCAGAGACAUAAUUGCGGACACUUCUUUACCAAUGAUUACGAGACAAGCAAUACAGGAAUAUUUUGAAAGUUAUGUACCCAUAUGUAAUGAUUAUAAUCUUAGGCAGUUGUUUACAAAGAUGACAGUGUAAAUUUUAUGUAUUUAAAUUGAUAUAAUACUCAGCAUAAAGGACAACUCCUGUACGAAUUUCGACAUCUUGUGACUGCCCGCUAUUCCACAGAUGGCAUUUAUACCCACUUGCGAGGACAAUGUAAAGCCAGUAUGAAAAAAAUGGUAUACUUUGUGGAUAUAAAAUUAAGUAAAGAUGGAGUAAUUGAAGAAUGCCAUUGCGAUUGUGCUGCAGGCAGUGGUACUCAAGCAUGUUGCAAACAUGUCUCUGUAUUGUUGGAUGACAUGUGAACCCGCAAAUCCACAUGGCAUUGAAUGGGAUCGUUACACCUAUGUAGAUAGGACUCCAAUAGAUAUUUUACUAGAGAAGCUAUUAUUAAAAAUAUUAUAUCUGAACAAAUUCAGGAAGUGAGAAGAAUACAAGAGCCCAAAGUGAUUCCUCUGAGUGGCAUGAAAGAUCAUGCAGGAUUACUGCCAGUAUGUUUCAUUUAGUGUGCCACAGUAAAGCAUAUAAGUACCAAAAAUAUAUGUAAUCGAUAUGAUUUUGGCCCCAAAGCUGUGCAGACUAUGUUAGUUGUGCAUAGUAAAAUCCAAGAAACUAUUUCCAUUGCCAAAUAUGAUAGAGAUUAUGGACUAAAAAUAA